rnacentral:tRNA from 1 species
CAAAUUAGAGCUUGAAUAAGUUUUUUAUUUACAUUAAAAAGAUAAUUUUUAAAAUUUAAUUUGA